AAGAGAUAGCUAAUCGCCCUGCGAUGAUGCGCGGAAAAAAGGCUCAGCGGUCAGCUCGAAGAUGACGUCGUCGUAGAACGAACCGUACCCACUCAUUAUAUCGCC
rnacentral:rRNA from 1 species